GUCAAAUAUCAUGCCCCUUAUGUCUUGGGCUUACGCAUGCUACAAUGGGCCGGUACAAAGGGCUGCAAUACCGUAAGGUGGAGCGAAUCCCAAAAAGCCGGUCCCAGUUCGGAUUGAGGUCUGCAACUCGACCUCAUGAAGUCGGAGUCGCUAGUAAUCGCAGAUCAGCAACGCUGCGGUGAAUACGUUCCCGGGUCUUGUACACACCGCCCGUCAAGUCAUGAAAGUCGGUAACACCUGAAGCCGGUGGCCCAACCCUUGUGGAGGGAGCCGUCGAAGGUGGGAUCGGUAAUUAGGACUAAGUCGUAACAAGGUAGCCGUACCGGAAGGUGCGGUUGGAUUCACCNUAA
rnacentral:rRNA from 1 species